rnacentral:rRNA from 1 species
GAUGAACGCUGGCGGCGUGCCUAAUACAUGCAAGUCGAGCGAACAGACGAGGAGCUUGCUCCUCUGACGUUAGCGGCGGACGGGUGAGUAACACGUGGAUAACCUACCUAUAAGACUGGGAUAACUUCGGGAAACCGGAGCUAAUACCGGAUAAUAUAUUGAACCGCAUGGUUCAAUAGUGAAAGACGGUUUUGCUGUCACUUAUAGAUGGAUCCGCGCCGCAUUAGCUAGUUGGUAAGGUAACGACUUACCAAGGCAACGAUGCGUAGCCGACCUGAGAGGGUGAUCGGCCACACUGGAACUGAGACACGGUCCAGACUCCUACGGGAGGCAGCAGUAGGGAAUCUUCCGCAAUGGGCGAAAGCCUGACGGAGCAACGCCGCGUGAGUGAUGAAGGUCUUCGGAUCGUAAAACCCUGUUAUUAGGGAAGAACAAAUGUGUAAGUAACUAUGCACGUCUUGACGGUACCUAAUCAGAAAGCCACGGCUAACUACGUG